GAUGUACUCCCUCCGUUCCAAAAUACUUGACUUCCACUUGUCCAAAAAUGGAUGUACCUAUAUACUAAAACAAGUCUAGAUACAUCUAGAUUUUAACAAAUGGAAGGCAUGUAUUAUGGAACGGAGGGAGUAUGAG
rfam:Triticum aestivum genome assembly, contig: Triticum_aestivum_CS42_TGACv1_scaffold_513497_6BS